rnacentral:rRNA from 1 species
UACAGAGGGUGCGAGCGUUGUCCGGAAUCACUGGGCGUAAAGGGCGCGUAGGUGGUGGCUUAAGCGUGCGGUGAAAGCUCGGGGCUCAACUCCGAGUCGGCCGUGCGAACUGGGCUCACUGGAGCAUAGUAGAGGCAGGUGGAAUUCCGGGUGUAGCGGUGGAAUGCGUAGAGAUCCGGAAGAACACCGGUGGCGAAGGCGGCCUGCUGGGCUAUGGCUGACGCUGAGGCGCGACAGCGUGGGGAGCAAACAGG